UACGGAAGGUGCAAGCGUUGUUCGGAUUGACUGGGCGUAAAGAGCACGUAGGCGGGUCUGUAAGUCGAUUGUGAAAGCCCCGGGCUUAACCUGGGAAUGGCAGUCGAAACUGCAGAUCUUGAAUGCCCGAGGGGUUAGUGGAAUUCCAGGUGUAGGAGUGAAAUCCGUAGAUAUCUGGAGGAACACCGGAGGCGAAGGCGGCUAACUGGUGGUGCAUUGACGCUGAGGUGCGAAAGCGUGGGGAGCAAACAGG
rnacentral:rRNA from 1 species